UAGGGAAUAUUGCACAAUGGGCGAAAGCCUGAUGCAGCAACGCCGCGUGCGCGAUGAAGACCUUCGGGUUGUAAAGCGCUUUUCUGAAGGAAGAGGAAGGACUGUACUUCAGGAAUAAGGAUUGGCUAACUACGUGCCAGCAGCCGCGGUAAUACGUAGGAUCCGAGCGUUAUCCGAAUUUACUGGGCGUAAAGCGCGUGCAGGCGGUCUGAUAAGUUGGAUGUGAAAGCUCCUGGCUCAACUGGGAGAGGCCGUUCAAAACUAUCAGACUAGAGGGCGGUAGAGGGAGGUGGAAUUCCCGGUGUAGUAGUGAAAUGCGUAGAUAUCGGGAGGAACACCAGUGGCGAAAGCGGCCUCCUGGACCGUUCCUGACGCUCAGACGCGAAAGCUAGGGGAGCAAACGGG
rnacentral:rRNA from 1 species